GAUGAACGCUAGCGGCAGGCUUAAUACAUGCAAGUCGUGGGGCAGCGCAGUGUAGCAAUACAUGGGCGGCGACCGGCAAACGGGUGCGUAACACGUACGCAACCUUCCCGUUACUGGGGAAUAGCCCAGGGAAACUUGGAUUAAUACCCCAUAUUAUAUUGAUUGGGCAUCUAAUUAAUAUCAAAGCUUCGGCGGUAACGGAUGGGCGUGCGGUUGAUUAGGUAGUUGGCGGGGUAACGGCCCACCAAGCCUACGAUCAAUAGCUGAUGUGGGAGCAUGAUCCGCCAAACGGGCACUGAGACACGGGCCCGACUCCUACGGGAGGCAGCAGUAAGGAAUAUUGGGCAAUGGACGAAAGUCUGACCCAGCCAUGCCGCGUGGAGGAUGAAGGUCCUCUGGAUUGUAAACUUCUUUUUUCUGGGGCGAAAACCGGUUUUUCUAAACCAUUUGACAGUACCAGAAGAAUAAGCACCGGCUAACUCCGUGCCAGCAGCCGCCGUAAAAC
rnacentral:rRNA from 1 species